rnacentral:rRNA from 1 species
UACGUAGGGGGCAAGCGUUGUCCGGAGUCAUUGGGCGUAAAGAGCGUGUAGGCGGCCAUGUAGGUCCGUUGUGAAAACUCGAGGCUCAACCUCGAGACGCCGAUGGAAACCAUGUGGCUAGAGUCCGGAAGAGGAGAGUGGAAUUCCUGGUGUAGCGGUGAAAUGCGCAGAUAUCGGGAGGAACACCGGUGGCGAAGGCGGCGACCUGGGUAGAUACUGACGCUGAGGCGCGAAAGCGUGGGGAGCAAACAGG